rnacentral:lncRNA from 1 species
GGUUUGGGGACGGUGCCGUGGGUGACAGCGCUGCGCGGAUAUUGGGGACAGCAGUGUCCCCAGGUGUCACCUCAUGGGUGACAGCAGUGUCCCCAAGGCACCAUUGCUGUCCUGUGGGUGCCACAGGUGACAGCAGUGUCCCCAAGGCGCCAUUGCUGCCCCACAUCCCCACCAGUUCCCACGACCCCACAUCUUUACCCACACCCCCAUAUCUCCAUAUCUGCCCCACAUCCCACAUCUGCCCCACAUCCCACAUCUGCCCCCAUGGCCCCAUCUGCCCCACAUCCCCAAAUCCCCACACCAGUUCCCAUGGCCCCACGCCCCCACAUCCCACAUCUGCCCCACAUCCCACAUCUGCCCCAAUACCCCCUUAUCUACCCUACACCCCCUCUUUCCCCUACCUGCCCCACAUCCCACAUCCGCCCCACAUCUCC